CUGGGACUGGGUCUGGGUCUGGCAGAGAUAAAAACUUGAGCGCUUCGGCUAUGGUUCUAUUUGAAGGCUGAUUAGAGCGAGCAAGAGGGCUUGCACUGUACUUGGCAUGCAUGAUUUAUCAAACGCCUGUUGACGCGCCUGCCCUCAGUCGUUGUCGCCAUCGUUAGCACCUCAUCAUCUCUGGGCCCGGACAUUAUCAAUCUUCAUCAUCAGCCAUCAGGUGGCUGGGCAGGACCAGGACCAGGACACUGACAGGGCCAGUGGUGACGUGAAGUGGGCUGCCAGCCCACGGACAACAUUCAACCACUCUGUCAAUAAAUUUUUCAACGUGAUGAAAGAGGAAGUUGACUUGAGAUUUGUAGAACCACUGCAGAUAAGUCUUCUUGGAGGGGGAAUAAAUAACUAUAUUGAAAGUAGUCAUAUUUUUCUUGAUUUUAAAUCUAUAAUCAUAUCAAUCAAUUUAUUAUAUACUCGUAUAGGUAAUUUAAUGCCUGUACUUCUCUUUUAUUUUGAUAUGUUCAAAUAAGAACCAAAAAGGCCCUGAAGGAGAAUGAAUUCAAGAUGAUCGAAAAACUC